rnacentral:rRNA from 1 species
AGAGUUUGAUCCUGGCUCAGAGUGAACGCUGGCGGCGUGCUUAACACAUGCAAGUCGCACGAGAAAGGACUUCGGUCUGAGUAAAGUGGCGCACGGGUGAGUAACACGUGAAUAACGUACCUCCGGAUGGGGAAUAACGUUCCGAAAGGAGCGCUAAUACCGCAUAAGACCACGCCGCCAUAAGACGGUGAGGCCAAAGCAGCAAUGCGUCUGGAGAUCGGUUCGCGUCCCAUUAGGUAGUUGGCGGGGUAAUGGCCCACCAAGCCAAAGAUGGGUAGCUGGUCUGAGAGGAUGAUCAGCCACAUUGGGACUGAGACACGGCCCAAACUCCUACGGGAGGUAGCAGUGGGGAAUCUUGCGCAAUGGGCGAAAGCCUGACGCAGCAACGCCGCGUGAGUGAUGAAGGCCCUCGGGUCGUAAAGCUCUGUCAGAAGGGAAGAAUAAAUGACGGUACCUUCAAAGGAAGCACCGGCUAACUCCGUGCCAGCAGUUGCGGUAAUACGGAGGGUGCAAGCGUUACUCGGAAUCAUUGGGCGUAAAGCGCACGUAGGCGGUCUCUUAAGUCCGGCGUGAAAUCCUGGGGCUCAACCUCAGAUGGCCGUUGGAAACUAAGAGACUUGAGAGUGGAAGGGGUCAGUGGAAUUCCUGGUGUAGGAGUGAAAUCCGUAGAGAUCAGGAGGAACACCGGUGGCGAAGGCGACUGACUGGGCCAUUUCUGACGCUAAUGUGCAAAAGCGUGGGGAGCAAACAGGAUUAGAUACCCUGGUAGUCCACGCUGUAAACGAUGCUUGCUGGUUGUGGCGUUCCAUGGUGAAUGCCGUAACGAAGCCAACGUGUUAAGCAAGCCGCCUGGGGAGUACGGCCGCAAGGUUAAAACUCAAGGGUAUCGUGACUGGGAAAC